UGGAAGAUGAAUCAUAAAAUUCACUUCCUCUUCAUUUGGAACCAUUGCCUUUGCCAAGGGAGACACUUUGCACAUUCCCCACUGUGGGUACCAUCUUAAGGAUUGCUGGGUCUCCAGGCUAUAUAUGGAAAGCUUGGCCAACAUUUUCAAGGUUGUAGCCAAUGGGUGAGACUCCAUAACAUAAGUUGUCGAUCGAGCAUGGUCAGGGUUGUGGCUUGGUAUUCUGAUGCCUACUUCUAAUUAAGCUCGAUCCGGUCUUUGUCAAACAAGGAUGACUUUGUAAUUCAGCAUCAAAGGGAUUAUAAUGAUCGAUCGAUUAUCAACUUAUGGUCGUGUGCCUUUGUUGAGCUAUCAAUGUCCUCAGAUUACAGUGACAAAUUAUGAAGAAGAAUGUGCGACUUUGAUGGAUCUUCUCACUUCUUCAGAGGUGACGGCCGGAUAUAUUCAAGUGUGUGGUUCGCGUGGUAGCUGCAGACCCCUGGAAAAUUGAGGACUUCUGUACGUCCUCCUGGUGGGAUGCAUGAAUAUAUAGGAUCAGAUUUACGUAGCUUGGAGGACCCAACUGCAAGAAUUCAUGCUUAUCUAGA